AUGAACCAUGGAAGAUGGAGGAGGAAGCAGGACCCUCCAUCCCAUAUCUGUACCGGUCGCGAGAUAAGAUGUGUGGUCGUUAACGGGGUGGUGUACUUCUUGAUGGACUUCUAUUCCACAUACUUUGAAACUGGGGUUAUAACCAUUGAGUCUGGUAGCGUAGCUUCGUUCAACCUCGAGACAGAAGAGUGGGGUGUUCUACAUGGUCCACAACAGGUGCAGAGGUUUGUGCAGGAAAACGAGGAUUACAGUUACUCAAAACUUGAAAUUGAGUUAUCAUUGGCUGAAUUGAAUGGAUGUUUAGUUAUGGUUCACAAUAUUCAUAACAUAUCUAUGGACUUGUGGUUUUUGACAGAUUUUGAGAAAUGUAUCUGGGUUAAGAAAUACAGCAUGCCAUCACAUGUUGCUAGGCCUUGUAUGUAUCCUUUUCUAAUGUUAGAUGAUGGGAGGAUAUUUUUCAGUGCAGAGGGUUAUCUACAAGGUAUCCUUGGUAGUGGAGAGCCAGGAGAGGGAUUUCUGCGAAGUUAUGAUCCAAGAAAUGACACCUAUCUUGAUUUGUUAAAAUUGGGAGAUUCCAAAUCCAUUGGCAUUUAUACGGGAAGUCUACUGAGUUUAUAG
rnacentral:rRNA from 1 species